rnacentral:snRNA from 1 species
GGAUGUGAGGGUAAUCUGGCUGCGACAUCUGUCACCCCAUUGAUUGCACGGUUGAUUUGGCUGACCUGAUUGGUUAGGCGAGUGUCCCCUUCCUCACUGCUCCAUGCACAUCUCUCCCGAAGCUGCAUGCUCAAAGAGGAUGACCAUCCCUGCUAGAGGAGGACCAUUCUUUGGUCAAGGGUGUACCAGUAACUGUGCUCCCCUGCUAGAACCCCUAAACACACUCUCAGAUAAUGAACAGGGCAUGUGGGAGGCCACAGCCCACUGCUACAAUUAUGUGAACCUUAUUCAAGACAAAGCUGGGUAUGGU